rnacentral:piRNA from 1 species
CACAGAGGUGUGACGAGACUCGCGUGGGAAA